AAAGGAAUUGACGGGGGCCCGCACAAGCGGUGGAGCAUGUGGUUUAAUUCGAUGCAACGCGAAGAACCUUACCAGGCCUUGACAUAUAGGUAGUAGAGAGCGGAAACGCAAUCGACCUUAGGGAAACCUAAGGAGCCUAUACAGGUGGUGCAUGGUUGUCGUCAGCUCGUGUCGUGAGAUGUUGGGUUAAGUCCCGCAACGAGCGCAACCCCUAUACUUAGUUGCCAGCACAUAAGGUGGGCACUCUAAGUAGACUGCCGUCGAUAAGACGGAGGAAGGUGGGGACGACGUCAAAUCAUCAUGCCCUUUAUGGUCUGGGCGACACACGUGCUACAAUGGCCUAAACAACGGGCAGCGAAGGAGCGAUCCUGAGCGAAUCCCUAAAAACAGGUCUCAGUUCGGAUUGCAGGCUGCAACUCGCCUGCAUGAAGUAGGAAUCGCUAGUAAUCGCGGAUCAGCAUGCCGCGGUGAAUACGUUCUCGGGCCUUGUACACACCGCCCGU
rnacentral:rRNA from 1 species